rnacentral:rRNA from 1 species
AGGUGGUGCAUGGUUGUCGUCAGCUCGUGUCGUGAGAUGUUGGGUUAAGUCCCGCAACGAGCGCAACCCUUGCUAUUAGUUGCUAACAGGUAGAGCUGAGCACUCUAAUGGGACUGCCGGCGACAAGUCGGAGGAAGGUGGGAUGACGUCAAAUCAUCAUGCCCCUUAUGACCUGGGCUACACACGUGCUACAAUGGGCGGUACAAAGGGCUGCGAACCCGCGAGGGGGAGCGAAUCCCAAAAAGCCGCUCUCAGUUCGGAUUGCAGGCUGCAACUCGCCUGCAUGAAGCCGGAAUCGCUAGUAAUCGCGGAUCAGCAUGCCGCGGUGAAUACGUUCCCGGGCCUU